rnacentral:misc_RNA from 1 species
GAUGAAGAACGUAGCGAAAUGCGAUAAGUAGUGUGAAUUGCAGAAUUCAGUGAAUCAUCGAAUCUUUGAACGCACAUUGCGCCCCUUGGUAUUCCAUGGGGCAUGCCUGUUCGAGCGUCAUUUGUACCUUAAGCUUUGCUUGGUGUUGGGUGUUUGUCUCGCCUUUGCGUGUAGACUCGCCUUAAAAUAAUUGGCAGCCGGCGUAUUGAUUUCGGAGCGCAGUACAUCUCGCGCUUUGCACUCAUAACGACAGCGUCCAAAAGUACAUUUUACACUCUUGACCUCGGAUCAGGUAGGGAUACCCGCUGAACUUAAGCAUAUCAAUAAGCGGAGGA